UACGUAGGGUGCAAGCGUUGUCCGGAAUUAUUGGGCGUAAAGAGCUCGUAGGCGGUCUGUCGCGUCGGCUGUGAAAACUCGGGGCUCAACCCCGAGCUUGCAGUCGAUACGGGCAGGCUAGAGUUCGGCAGGGGAGACUGGAAUUCCUGGUGUAGCGGUGAAAUGCGCAGAUAUUAGGAGGAACACCGGUGGCGAAGGCGGGUCUCUGGGCCGAUACUGACGCUGAGGAGCGAAAGCGUGGGGAGCGAACAGG
rnacentral:rRNA from 1 species